CUUGAGUCUGAGUUUGCAAAGUGAAAGUUUCCUGGAGAUGGAAAAACACAAGAGCUGCCUCAGAUGAGCAAAAUUUGGGAACAAAUGGAAAAGUCUGUGGAUCCAUAGUUUCUGCUAUAACAAACAAAGCUUUUAUGUUUAUAUUGCACUUCCACGUCAGAAGAACCUGUGGAAGAAUCCAGGAAAAUGCCUAGUGUCAAUGUGAGGAAAGUACAUGGAUGGCAGCAGACUACCAGGACAUGAAAAGAAUAGCUCCUUCCUGACUUACUCUCUCUUGGAUCAAUUACUGUGAUGGAAACCAGCUGCCAUGUCAGGAGUACACUCAGCUGGCCUAAUGGGAGGCCCACACAGAGAGGCACUGAGGUCGCCAAUCAAUAACCAACACCAAUACAGCGCAGGAAAGAACAUCGCUUUCCUCAUGAACAGGUGCAAAUACUGCUGACAUUUAGAACACUCCUCAAAGACCAUAAGCCAGUGUCCCAACUAGGGACUUGAAGAUGAGUCUACAGAGAUGACCAGAGCGGUGCUGGGUGAACUUCAUUUUCCUUUCCUAGUCAAGAAGGCUUAAGUAAUAGUAUGAGGAAAUACCUGAAGACCCAAACCCUGGUAGAAAAGACACUGCUGUCAUGGCAACAUUCUAACUUUAGCACAUUGAAUAUGUCAUACUACUCUCUCCUGGACUGCAGAGUUUUUGCUGACAAAUCUGCUGACAGCCAUGUUGGAACUCUCUUGAUUGUGGUGAAGCCUAAGAAACACUGUCUAAGCUAAAGGGCCAAGGUCAACAUCAACAGCGAAAGAGGAGACUUUGGGACUUGGAAGUGACUCCUAAAAUAGAGUAUUUUUAAAACUAUGGAACAUAACCUCAAUAACAUUAUUGAGAAUGGCUACUUGGCAAAUAAGGGAACUUUUGCAUCAGAGAUUAUUUAUGAUACAUCACAAUAGC
rnacentral:lncRNA from 1 species